UUAACUCUAGUGCUCUCAUGAUCUACUGAGGUUCAAGGCACAAAGCUGAAAUACGAUUAGAGAUGGUGUUGCGAGUGUUUUGUUGAAGGAUGUUAUCCUAGUAUGGAAGAAUGAUGUUUCUUUGGCUGCAGGUACUUUGGUAUAGUUGAGGGGUUGGUAGCAGUGUACUUGGGAUAUUAUGACUGAAGCUCGCCGCGACUGUUGUAAUUGUCGGACCACGGGUUGUCCACUAUUUUAUAGGUUUGGUAUGGCUUGUGACGUUUGUGUCACUUAUUCUUUGUUAAGCCAUUAUUGUUAUGUAAAUAUUGUGUUAAUAAGACUCAAACAGAUAGAUGUUAAAUGGCUCAAUAUUGUAAUUAAUUUGUGAUAAAUGUAUAAGUUGUAAUUUCCGCUAUUCA